rnacentral:rRNA from 1 species
GACGAACGCUGGCGGCGUGCUUAACACAUGCAAGUCGAACGGAAAGGCCCUGCUUUUGUGGGGUGCUCGAGUGGCGAACGGGUGAGUAACACGUGAGUAACCUGCCCUUGACUUUGGGAUAACUUCAGGAAACUGGGGCUAAUACCGGAUAGGAGCUCCUGCUGCAUGGUGGGGGUUGGAAAGUUUCGGCGGUUGGGGAUGGACUCGCGGCUUAUCAGCUUGUUGGUGGGGUAGUGGCUUACCAAGGCUUUGACGGGUAGCCGGCCUGAGAGGGUGACCGGCCAAAUUGGGACUGAGAUACGGCCCAGACUCCUACGGGAGGCAGCAGGGGGGAAUAUUGCACAAUGGGCGGAAGCCUGAUGCAGCAACGCCGCGUGCGGGAUGACGGCCUUCGGGUUGUAAACCGCUUUCGCCUGUGACGAAGCGUGAGUGACGGUAAUGGGUAAAGAAGCACCGGCUAACUACGUG